AGGAAGAUGUUUCAUAUUUACGGUGAGGAGUUAGAGAGUUGUUUUGGUUUUGGUUUGGUUUGGUUUUUUCCUUAGCCACCAUUAUCCCAGGAUGUCCUUGUUUGGCAGCUGGUUUGGAAUUUCUUCCAGUCAGUGGAAGAUGUUCACAGGGUGAUGAUGCCGUCCUCCUGUGAGAUACCCGGGUCGGCAGCAACCCAGGUAUCCGAAAUCGGGGAAACCCAGCCUCUCUGGUCGCCAGGCCUCCAGUCAAGUUUCGGGUUUGGAUCUGAAGGGCUAACUCUCCGGCUCGGGAGCAGGUCUGAAUCGCAGAAUCUUUAGAAACGAGAUUCCUAACACAUCUUUAUGCAAAACUCGGAACUUGAGGGAAAGAGUGAGGCUGCUGCGUGCGUGCACAGCCCAGAGAGCCUGGGCUCGGCCGGUGCGUGUGCAACGCUCACGACUCCACGCGCGUGCAGAAGCCCUUCAACAGCCCACAGCCAGGGAGGCAGAGGCCAAGAGCAAGAGACGCUUCUCCACGGGUAUACAAUGGCCCUGUGAUUUUGAAUUCCACAAAGAUGAUGAAGAAGAUCUGUGUUCCCAAAUGGGGAACUGUGAACAUCUCUCACCAGUGAUUUGUAGGCCAGUGCUGCUCUCUAUCGAAUGACUGCUUUGUUUAUUUCUAAAACACACCUUGUAGAUUCGUAAGCAUUAAGUUUGUUAGCAUUUAAUGUGAAUGAUUUCAUUUUUAUAAUUUCAGGUAUUUUUACAUUUGGAGUAUGUGUUCAGUUCAAUAUAAUACUUCCAACAUACUGUGUACCACCGUGCGUAACUGGGAAA